rnacentral:rRNA from 1 species
CCUACGGGCGGCAGCAGUGAGGAAUAUUGGUCAAUGGCCGAGAGGCUGAACCAGCCAAGUCGCGUGAGGGAAGACGGCCCUACGGGUUGUAAACCUCUUUUGUCGGGGAGCAAAGCGAACCACGUGUGGUUCAUUGAGAGUACCCGAAGAAAAAGCAUCGGCUAACUCCGUGCCAGCAGCCGCGGUAAUACGGAGGGUGCAAGCGUUACUCGGAAUCACUGGGCGUAAAGAGCGCGUAGGCGGGAUAGCAAGUCAGAUGUGAAAUCCUAUGGCUUAACCAUAGAACUGCAUUUGAAACUGUUAUUCUAGAGUAUGGGAGAGGUAGGUGGAAUGCGCAGUGUAGCGGUGAAAUGCUUAGAUAUUGCGCAGAACUCCGAUUGCGAAGGCAGCAUACCGGCGGCGAUCUGACGCUGAGGCACGAAAGCGUGGGUAUCGAACAGGAUUAGAUACCCUAGUAGUC